UCCUACGGGAGGCAGCAGUGGGGAAUAUUGCACAAUGGACGAAAGUCUGAUGCAGCAACGCCGCGUGGAUGGAUGACGACAUUUCGGUGCGUAAACUCCUUUUAUAUGAGAAGAUAAUGACGUUACUAUA
rnacentral:rRNA from 1 species